UCCUGGUGGCUCAGACGGUAAAGUGUCUGCCUGCAAUGCGGGAGACCCAGGUUUGAUCCCUGGGUCAGGAA
rnacentral:tRNA from 1 species